rnacentral:misc_RNA from 1 species
GUGAACUUGGCUUCUUUGGUUUCUAAGAUUCCAUCUUGUUCAGAGUGAUGGAUGGUAGUGAGCUCCCCGGCAAUUUUGGUGAGCUGAGAGAUGUAUGUAGGUACUUCUGACACUAAAGGCUCAAGUUAGAUUUUAGCAUAAUUCAUUAGAAGUUGAAGUACAGAUACGCAUCAUCUAAAGCUUAAUAUUUGUUUUUACAUCCUCUUCCCUUUCUCUUGUACACCCAUGGAUUUUUC